rnacentral:lncRNA from 1 species
CUUGUCGGCGCCAUUUUGUCUCGGCAGCGGUGGCCGUAGCUCCAUCGCAUUUUAUGUUUCUGGCGAGAAGGGAACGGAGUUUUCAUCAGGUAGAUUGGUUUUUGUGCGGCCGUCCUCCACCGUUUCCUCCAGGACAGCACCUAGUCGUGGCCGGAGGAGUCUCAGAGCUGUCAGAAAGAAUAAGACUGAUUUUAUGGGAAAAUUAAGCAGAUGCUCCAGUUUGAGAAACCUGGAUCUGCGAUCUGUUUGUGAGUGGUAUUCAGUUAAGAGAACAAUUAUUUCGUAUAAGCCACAUCAGAGACGACUGAAGAUGAAAAAACUACCAUCCCCGUAUAUAACUAAUUUGUGCUGUGCACCAACAAGAACCUGCUUUAAAUUUCCAUGGCAAUUUACAACCCCC